CCCGAGCAUGCCACCGUCGUGCCCAUCGCCGAGCGCGCCGCCGCCGGCCACCUGCCUAGCGCCACCCCCCCUUCCCCAGCACACAUCGGCCGGCCACUGCCUCAGCACGCCGCCGUCGCCCCACUGCCCCAGCGCGCUGCCUCCAUGACCUCCCUCCCCCAGUGUGCCACCGCCUACCCCUGCCUCCGUGCGCCACCACCUACCUCCGAGCGCCGCGGAUCUUCGCGCACAACUGGCCACCGCUGCCUCCCGCGCCAACUAUGUCCUGAGACUAGCCAUGGUGGUGGAUCCAAGAUCCGCCGAGGGAAAAGGGGAGCCGCUGCUCCCUGUUGAUGGCCGGUCCUUGCCACGGGCCGCCGCACUCCCGACAUGUCCCGAGCACCAGCACCCCUAGAGGCUCGCUCCCCUGCACCCUUGAACCAGCGCCAUCCACCACUCGAGCAGGGUGGCAAUGGUGACAACAUCCAGCGGCCCUCGUCUGCCUCUGCUCGCCCUGCCUUCAUCACCGACCAACCGUGCAAAUCCAUGUAAAAUGAGUUCAGGAAGAGAGGAGCCCCAGCCGGAUACAAGAGGAGGACAUCGAUGGCUCUCGGCGGCCAUCGACGGGGACUUGAAUGCCCCAACCCUCAAAGCUCGCCUCAUCUUCUACAGGCAACAGGGGGCGUCUUCCCUCCUGGCGCCCGUAGGCCUAUCAGGCAGCCUCGGCUCGCCGUCGUCGGGAUCUGGCCAACACCGGCUCCUAGCGUUGGAUCCGUUAGUGCCGGAUCUCGCCGCUGCAGGAUGCGAGGAAGAGGAUGAGGUACAGCAUGCAACAACGAAAGAAGGUGCAGAGCCAUCAACUAGAUUUUGUUUGGUUAAAGAAGGUACAGGGUCGACGACUGUAUUUAGAUCAUAAUAGGAUCGGUUCGCGUUGGUGGCGCAGUAGUGCUGCGUAGGCAGCUGCUACCAAUCUUCACCAAGCUGGGUGAAGCCUUCAAGGUGAGAUGAUCGAUUGCUUUUUGUCCACUGUCACCCUAUUUAAGAUUACUGACCUGGUUCAUCUUAUUUCUCUUGUUGAUGCAAACCUGCUCACUUCACAAGCCACGCUCACAGCCACCAUCGUAAACUUCGUGGCUGGCCUGCUUAUCUUUACUGUAUUCUAAAUCGGAGGCAGUGCACGACCCAAUGUUUGACUUUGAACAUUGACACUGACGACGGACUCAAGCACCACCACAUUCUUGGUACAUAGACCGGCACCUCUAAGGGCUUACCCGAGAUGUUUUUUAGCCAUUUAACAACUGAUUUUGUCAUGGGAUAAAUUUUGAUGGAUAAGAUUUUAACAAGGUAUAGAGCAAUGUAGUCGAGAUGACACAGUUAUGCAAAAUGUGUAGACAGAAUUUGAGACAUUUACAUUGGCAGGUCUAUUCACUGAUUAUUUAUUUACUCUGUAUUCAUCAAAAUUUAUUUAUUUUGUACUACAUUGUAGAGUGCGAUUGACGCAAGCAGAGAUGGCCAUGAUGCUAGCUGAUAGCACUUGCUAACUGAAGAAGUUUGCAUACCUUUUCUCAAAUUAAAAAAAGAGUUUCUUACCAACUAAUGAGCCUACCAGUUAUAGGCCAAUUGCUCUAACUCAACUUUAGGUCGGUACUUUCCUGUAGAGUAUACCUCUGUAAUUCUCCAUCCAAGAUACUAAAGUUUAUGCUUCGCUGCUUGCACACACUGCAAUUCAAGGCAGAUCUAGAUUACAUCCCUAAGCAACCCACCUAUAUUGGUAAAUUUUUAUUGUGUUAUUUAAAUUAAAAAAAUUAAUGUACUCUGCUGGAGAAGUCACAAGCCAUAUUAAUUUCAGAAGAAAACAUUUCUAAUUAGUGGUUAAGGUCUUGUUGUGUCUAAAAUGAAAAUUCCAAACAAAAACAGAGGCACAAUUUGUAUUUAUACGAUGAAUAAUGGAAAUUUCAAUUGCUAAAUUUAACUAAGGUUUUUAGAAUAAAUUGUGGUCUCUGAGCUCGUCUCACGUAAUCCAUCAACUAAAUGUAUUAUAUUAGCAUGUCUAAUUCAUAAGUGCAACCAGCAAUUAGUUUAAUUUUCCCCUCAAAUAAAAACAAUUAGAGUUUUGUUUGAUUUAAAUUAACAAAGUGGCCUACACAUUAUUUAUAUGCACUAUAGUUAUUUUGUUCUCAAUGGCUUGAUUUGAACGCCGAAAUUUUAUUAUCCCUUAUUUCGUUGCAACGCACGGGCCCUUUUGCUAGUAUAUAUAUAUACUCUAUACAUAAAGAGAGAGUAUCACUAUUCUGAUUCCGGAAUCAGAAUAACUAUUUGGAUCAAGAUCAGCAUAGGGGCGAUCGGACUUUCCUGAGAUCCCCCGAUCGGUAAAACAAAAGAAAAAAAACCACCCACCCGCUAGCCACAACCCCUCCCCUAACCUCCCCCGAUCCCAUCUGGCCCCUCGCCCCGAUGUGCAUCGCCGCCGCAGCCUCCCUCCCUGCCCCGUGCCGCCACCGGGCCCCGGCCACCUCCCGCGCCGCUGCCGGGCCCCGGCCACCUCGCCCGCCGCCGGCUGGCCCCGGCCACCUACAACGCCGCCAUCUGGCCCCUCCCCUGCCGUAAUCCAGCCCGAGCGAGCCCAUCACCGAUUGCUUCUUGCCCCGCGGCGGAGCGCCGCCGCACACCCACCCACAACUACAACUCCCCCGCCCCGCCCACAUCGACCACACACGGUGCUCGGUCAUGGGGACAACUGAGCGGAGCUCGAGCUCUGGCUCCUCUCUCCUCUUGCGCGCCACCGGCCAUUGCACCUCGCCGCGGUACACUCGGCCAAGGGGGCAACCAAGCGGCGCCUGAGCUCCGGCUCCUUUCUCCUGUUGCACGGGCACCAGCCCUUGCCGCACGCCUUGGUGCACAUCCGCGCCCAUUGGCCCCUCUCUGCUGGCCCGCCAGCCACUACGGCGGCGCUCCGGCGACCUCUCCACUCCUGUCUGCGUGUUGCGGCAUGGACGAACACCUCCUCCCUUCUAAUGGCAAAAAUGGGGAAAGGAGCAGCUUCAGUUUAAAAAAUGCGGCAGCUUCAGUUCAGUUUGUAAGAAAGGAGCAAAAAAGAAAGGUUGCUGGGCUCGUUUGUGCACUAUGUGCAUAAAAAUGGGGAAAGUUAAACUUCAUUAUUAUUGCUUGCUCCUCCAGUGGCCGGAUCUCGCCACCAUGACCACUCAACUCGUGUUGUCGGCGACCUGCCAAAGCCUAAGCGACGACCUGUCCGAGGCCUAAGCAUGAACUUCAUGCUUGAAUCUUCUCCAAAUUGAUAUUGCCUGCAACGGGGAGGGGCAAGCCUGUAGUCCAGCACUAUGAAGGGAGGAACUGCUUCUACUUCUCUUCUGAAAUCUCAAUGCCAUGUCUUGAUUUUCAGAGGAACUUUUUGGUUUGUACCAACCAUUUAAGAUGGUAUCUCAUCUGAAUGUGGUAUGCAUGCAGGCCAGCGUUCUCAAGUGGCAGAGCGGAGCCGUUUGCCUAGCGGGUCGAGCAGGAGUUCAAUGUAUAUUACACAAGAAGAAAAAACAAACACUAGGUUGCAGAUGUUGUGUUUUGUGAUUGUCGUAGGCUGACAGCCAAGACGACGUCCUCCACAUUUCCUACCAGCUCCGCCCAAUCCCAGCACCGGCGCGACCCCAGUACGGCGCCUGAUUCCGCCAUCCCGCAUCCGCCUGCAUACGCCAGUGUGCCACCACUAACGACCUGCCCGACCCCCCUGGCCUCCUACAAACUGCUGCUGCUCCCUGUACUUUUUUGGAUGAAGUUAGCACCACUCGACCGAGAAACACGAUGACAGUGACACGCUGGGCGAAAUCGGAGAGAAGGCAAGGACGAGGCGGAGGAGUUCCUGAAGAUGGCCAAGGAGAAGACUGACGACGUUGCCGAGGGCGCAAAGGAGACAGUGCAGGAGACCAAGGAGGUGGUGCUCGGUGAGUCCGACGAUGACAUGGACAAGUUCAAGCAGCGGGUCGAGCAGGGGAGCUACGAUCAGAAAUAAGUGAGAGGGAGGUGUUCCCUUGGUGUAUGUUCGCGCGCAGUCAUGGCCUGCCCAAAGCCAUUAGCUCUGCAAUUUGUAUGUCAACCACUAGGCUUGGUAUCUGUAUGUGUAAUGUGAUCUUGAUACUAUACAACUUGCCACUUCCCGCAGAAUAAGUAAUAUUGAGCUUCUGAAUGUUUUUUCUUCUCG